rnacentral:rRNA from 1 species
AAUUCGAUUUUGGAGGGCAAGUCUGGUGCCAGCAGCCGCGGUAAUUCCAGCUCCAAUAGCGUAUAUUAAAGUUGUUGCAGUUAAAAAGCUCGUAGUUGAAUUUCGGGAUCAAUAUGUCGGUCGUGCCUCGGUACGUACUGGCAUCAUUGGUUUCUCCCUUCUGAUGAACCAUUAUGCCAUUAAUUUGGUGUCGUGGGGAAUCAGGACUGUUACUUUGAAAAAAUUAGAGUGUUUAAAGCAGGCUCACGCUUGAAUACAUUAGCAUGGAAUAAUGAAAUAGGACGUUUGAUUCUAUUUUGUUGGUUUCUAGGAUCGACGUAAUGAUUAAUAGGGAUAGUUGGGGGCAUUAGUAUUCAAUUGUCAGAGGUGAAAUUCUUGGAUUUAUUGAAGACUAACUACUGCGAAAGCAUUUGCCAAGGAUGUUUUCAUUAAUCAAGAACGAAAGUUAGGGGAUCGAAGACGAUCAGAUACCGUCGUAGUCUUAACCAUAAACUAUGCCGACUAGGGAUCGGAUGAUGUUAAUUUUUUAAUGACUCAUUCGGCGCCUUACGGGAAAUCACUAGUG